rnacentral:tRNA from 1 species
UGUAGCUCAGUGAUAGAGCACUCUCCCAACUCUCGAGAGGGCCUGGGUUCAACUCCCAGCA